AACCUUAAUUCCCAAAUUAAAUCAGAAACCCUAAUUCCCAAAUUGAAGAACCCUAAUCCUAAUCCCUCCUCACCACACUCAGCCGCAUACCCUUUCGCUUUAAUCCCUUUCAAACGUAACACAGCAGCAGAGAAGGAGAGCUGUGAUCGAAAGAGAGGAAGAGCCACGCUGCCGCCGCUGUCCAGCCGCCUCGCCACCACCGUCGCACCGCCACCGCACCAUCGUCUCUCCCAGCUUGCCGCCAUCCUCCACGUCGUUGCCACUACUGUUCGCAAAGAGGAGAGAGAGAGAGACGUUGAGACAGAGCAGCGUCGAGAGGGAGAGGAUCCGCCAUCAUCAUCGAUUUGUGCUUGCUAGAGGAAGCCGCUGCCGCCGAUGAGUUGUCGCCGCUAUGACACGUCCGAGAGGUGAGGAGUCGUGCGUUGAAAACCGUCGCAUCCUGCCGCCAAGGGUUCCGUCGCAGCCAACCCGUCGCAGUUGGUGUCACUGCCGUCCUUGUUGGAUUCCACCGUGGAGAAGAGAAUGACACGAGGGAGGGAGGGAGAUAGAGCCGUGCGAGCCAGAGGAGGCACUGUCCUCACUGUUGCUUCCACGGCCACUAGUGAGUCGUGCACCGCCAUCAGAGUCGAAGAUAGCAUCGGCCUUCUUGUUCUGGUUCCGAUUCCUCGAUUUAUACAAUUUUCUGCCAAUUUGCUUCAAAAUUGCUAUUGUAACUCGUAUUGGUUUUGGGACUGUUGUGGCUGCUGCUGGUUUUGUUCGAGGCUACUGCUGCUGUGAGAAAGGAAAAAGGAAUUUGUCACAGUUAACGAAUUCUUUGAGUCCUGAUUAUUUGAGGUAGGGGAUUUAUUUUAAAAUUAACUGUUUUAAUUUAUGAAUGCCAAUGAAGUUUAGUGAGUAAUUGCAAAUAAUUUAUAAAUGUCUUGUUUGGUUAAUUAAUGAAAAUUGAUGAAAUUGAGAUUGUUGGUGAUUGUGAAUAUGGUUGAAUGUGAUGAAAUUGUGAUGAGAUUUAUUUGUAGUUGUGUUUGAGGAUGAUGAUUUCUGCUGGUUAUGUGAUUUGAUGAUGAUGAGGGUAUGCUUGAAAUGCUGUUGGAAGUUGAUGAACUAUUAUGAAUAUGUAUGUGUAAUUUUGUGAAUUAUUGAUUCCAAAUUCUUGGAACUAUACUACUAAUUCUAAUAAUCGUGUUUAAUGAAAUGGAAGUUGGAAUUGUGAUAUUGGAAGAGUUCUAGGCGUAGAUACAAAAUUGGGAGUGUAAGGUUGCUUAAUUGUCAUUAAAUUGAAAUAUGAUAAGUUAAUUAUUGAAGUUGAUAUGGUUGCCUAUUCCCUUUGUGAGUUUGGAGGUGGUGAGAGUGAGAGAAGGAAACUUCAAGCCUAUAGAGAAAGCGAUUUUCCUCUUCUUGUUGAGCGCUUGAAGAAUUCAACAAAGUAUGAUUGUUUCUGCAAUAUGCUUUUCAAAAAAUUAUUUUGAUACAUGCCCUUGUAUUGUGAUAUACAUAUAUACUACUGAUUGAUGUUGUAGCCCUAUAUCUCCAAUGGUUUUGAGGAAAAUGGGAAGAUGUCCAUUGACACCAGAAGAAGCAGCACUUGUGCUAGCAGGCCUUGGUUGGUUCUAGUAUUUAUGGAGUAGAUUCAAAAAUGAAUCCCUUCACCAGGCUCUAUCCCAAUGUUAUUACAAAGGAAGAUUUCCUUGCUUGGUUGCUCCCAAUGAACUUGAACCUUUUAAGAAUUUUUCUUCUCAGACUCUGGUAGCUAACUCUCAGCAAUGGUGUCUGGAUUCAGAAGCUACUAUAGUGGCAAUCAUGCUCCCACUUUGAGGCCUAACAAGAAGAGGCUGACAGCAAUCUUGUGGCAGAAUGGUACCAUAGGAUGAAAUAGUUUUAAA